GAUGAAAAACGUAGCGAAAUGCGAUAAGUAAUGUGAAUUGCAGAAUUCAGUGAAUCAUCGAAUCUUUGAACGCACAUUGCGCCCCCUGGUAUUCCGGGGGGCAUGCCUGUCCGAGCGUCAUUACAACCCUCAAGCUCAGCUUGGUGUUGGGCCCCGCCGCCCCGGCGGGCCCUAAAGUCAGUGGCGGUGCCGUCCGGCUCCGAGCGUAGUAAUUCUUCUCGCUCUGGAGGUCCGGUCGUGUGCUCGCCAGCAACCCCCAAUUUUUUUCAGGUUGACCUCGGAUCAGGUAGGGAUACCCGCUGAACUUAAGCAUAUCAAUAAGCGGAGGA
rnacentral:misc_RNA from 1 species